rnacentral:rRNA from 1 species
UGGGGAAUUUUGGACAAUGGGCGAAAGCCUGAUCCAGCAAUGCCGCGUGUGUGAAGAAGGCCUUCGGGUUGUAAAGCACUUUUGUCCGGAAAGAAAUCCUUGGCUCUAAUACAGUCGGGGGAUGACGGUACCGGAAGAAUAAGCACCGGCUAACUACGUGCAAGCAGCCGCGGUAAUACGUAGGGUGCAAGCGUUAAUCGGAAUUACUGGGCGUAAAGCGUGCGCAGGCGGUUUGCUAAGACCGAUGUGAAAUCCCCGGGCUCAACCUGGGAACUGCAUUGGUGACUGGCAGGCUAGAGUAUGGCAGAGGGGGGUAGAAUUCCACGUGUAGCAGUGAAAUGCGUAGAGAUGUGGAGGAAUACCGAUGGCGAAGGCAGCCCCCUGGGCCAAUACUGACGCUCAUGCACGAAAGCGUGGGGAGCAAACAGGAUUAGAUACCCUGGUAGUCCACGCCCUAAACGAUGUCAACUAGUUGUUGGGGAUUCAUUUCCUUAGUAACGUAGCUAACGCGUGAAGUUGACCGCCUGGGGAGUACGGUCGCAAGAUUAAAACUUAAAUGAAUUGACGGGGUCAUAGCUGUUUCCU